GCGGAUGUAGCGCAGCUGGUAGCGCAUCACCUUGCCAAGGUGAGGGUCGCGA
rfam:Actinokineospora spheciospongiae strain EG49 contig1280_2, whole genome shotgun sequence.